CUCCAGGGACUCAGGAUUUAGGCUCACCCCUUUGCAGCCCCUGGUUUCUCAGCAGUGCUGUGGGGCUGCUGGUCUCCAGCUCCUGGUGUGUGCACCCUGCUGCUGUGGACUCUGGCCUGUGUGUGUCCCCAGGCUUGGUGACAGAGCUGUCCUGUCAGGAUGGACCUGGCUGGCAGUCUGCAGGGUGAUCUGGUUUUGACCCUGACCUGCAGAUUAUCCCCUAAGCCUGGCCCCAGGCCUGUGUGGUUGCUGUGACCCUGCCUGAUGUUGGGACUGGUGGUUGAAGCUGUCCUGCUCUCUCCACCAGCUGCUCUGUGACUGGUCCUGAUCCUUUCCCACUGGGAGAAGACAUGGUUAGCUGAGAAAUUCAUUGCAUUGUUGAGAGUUUCUGGCCAUUGGGGAGGUCCAGAUCUAUAUGGGAGUUAUGGAAGACUUUUGAGGUUCAGCUGUGAAUCCACCCUUGCUACCAGCAAAGUUGCUAUUGAUGCCAUUGGAGCCAAGGAACAAUGCCUGGGCAGGAGGAGUGGAGUGUGUAUGCUUUCUCAGGAGCUGUGACCACCUUUGCUGCCAGCACAGCCUUGCUGGUGGCAUUUUGGAGAUUCUACUUCUGAUGCCAGCCAGACCAAAGUUUGCUACAGAAGCUCUCCUAUUGUCCUGAUACCCACUGCUUUGUUUGGGUCUGAUUUCUUCACAGCUACGUCAUGUAUGGUGCUUGUCCACAGUCUUGUUCCAAGCUCAUAGAGGAGGAAGAGCACAAAGUUGAACUAUCACAGUGCUGAGCCAGGAGCAGCAAACCACCCCUCGUGGUGGAUGGGGAGCUGAGUGUGCAGAGGGACCGUGGGGCUCUCCAGGGCCGUGUCUGCAGCUUGCCUGAAGCCCCAGGGCUCACCACUUCUGUGAAGCAAAGCAUCAUGGUGCUAGAGCAUCAUUUUCCUCCAUCCACUAAAGAGUUCUGAGGAUAUUUUCUGGUUGCUGAUGGGAGCAGAGGAGAAGAGAGGAUCUCACAUUGCAAAGGAGAAAAAAACCCCACACAAUCCGCUUCACUCGAGUUUUGUGUUUGGAAAAUGAGGACAUGGAAGAGGUCCAUCUUUGCUGCCAUUUGGAUACAACUGCAAGAAAAAUUAAAAAGGGAUAUGGGGUGGAGACCAAAGGAGACUGAAGACCCUUUCCCAAGCCCUCACAGGGCAAGUGCUGCUGAGGCUGGAGCAAACCUGACUCUGGAGGCAGACUUCUGCCUUAAACUCAAUGGGUCCUGGCAAGUAAAAUUACAACAAGUACUACAGUGGUUUGCAGAAGUAAAUGUUUAUUUCACCACUAAAAUGCAAAUGUCUGGUGUAGUCCCACAAAGUGUACACUCUUGCUGAUGGCACUUGUUUGUGGCUAUCCAAUUUUGGAAUAGAUUUGCCUCUCAAAUUUAAUGAUUUUGACAAGUGAAAUUAACUUGUUCUUGACAAGGAAAGUAACUAUGAGGAAGGCAGUUUUGAUGUGUGUCAGUGCCAGCCUCGGGCUCUGCCCCUUGCCUCCAAGGCUGUUUCUUUCAGUAAGGGGCUGCUGUGACCAGCCCUUUCUCUUCAGCUGGAGGGAAUAGCUAAGCCUGUGACUAAAAUCCACCACACCAGAGACAGAGCAGCUCCCAGCAGACCUGAGAGGAGCUGGGAUGUGUCUGCUCUGGUUCUGGGGCUCCCUGGCAAGCCCUGCUCCCAGUGCCCAGCUGCCCUGUGGCCAGGACCCAGGCAUGCCUUUGCCUUGAGCAUCUCUGGCUGCACUUACUCCACCCAGCCCCCUCCUCCACAGGUGAUGAAUACUUGGGUGCGUAAAUUCAGAGAAAAUUUAAGAAAAAUUGGCUAGAGAAAUUAAAACUGCCUCAGGCAGCUUAACUUGUACAGCGACACAUACAGUACUUAGCACCCUAGAUUUCAUUAUUCUUAACAGCAUAACUGGAGUCCUAUUUUCACACAUUAAAUAUUCUUGGAUUUUUUUCCCCAAUGAGCAGACAUAUGAUUUUUUUUCUCUGCCAUCAACAUGCAUGUUUUGUCCUUUCAGAGACUUUUUUCAAAUUGGAAUACAGAUUAGUUUUACCUACGAUUUAAAGAACUCCAAUGCUUGACUUUAUGCUUAGCUCCAGGUAUAAUGAGAACACAGAGCUUUCUCCUCUUCUCACUGAAAACUAUAGAAACAUUGCUACAGGCUCUGGGGCACCCAGGCACAGGAUACAUCCUGGACCCUUCAACAAAGACACCUAGUUUGGCCUUGUGUGGAGGUGGGACAGUAUGAGGCUGGCAUGAACUGAACCCGUGGUAACAACAGAGUGUUGGAAAGGUACCAGUAUGACCAAAUUUCCAUGAGUUUUGAGGUGCAAUGCCCUAUUCUGAUGAGAUUCUCUCCUCCAGCCACCUGCCUGAAAGUUCACUUCCCAACUUCCCAAUGUGAACAUGGAAAGAAUAAUAUUGAUGGAAAGGAAUAUGCUUGGAGCUUUCAGUGUUUGCAGAAAUGGCGAUGGAGCAGACAAAUAGGAAAAACAAGGGAAGAGAAAAAAUUAGGAGUAGCAAGCUUCUGAAAUGGAUUUCCUUUGGAAAUUGUUCAGAGUGGUGAGCUGAGAUGCCUGUGGCGAGACUGCGUUGCUCUGUGGGGGCUGCCAGUUUGCACGUACAAUGAACUGCACAGCAUUUCUUCCAGGAUCCCCAGUUCUGCCUUCUCCUGCUUAGUGGUCCUGAGAUGGUCCACUUAUGUCUCUGCCACUGAUAUUUGUCAUGGAUGAGCCAUUACCUCAAGAUCUUACAGACCAUGCUCUUAAAGCCACUGGACACCCAAACAGAAAAAGUGCCAUGCAGGAGCUAUGUGUUGUUAAUAUUUACAGGCAUGGUCCUACACUGCUUCUAUGGGGAUGUGGUCUUCCUCCUGCUCUGGGAAUCUGCAGCCUCAGAGUUUGUCCGUGUUUCUCAUGAAUUCCUGACUCUCAGGUUCCAGACUUCUGGCAAAGGAUUCUCUGAGUCAUUCUGGGGACAUCUAUAACCCAUCACCAAGCAAAUAAAGGGAAUUUUCACAUUCAGAAUAUGUUGGGAGAACUUAUUCAUCACAUGAGGUGUGUCAGAAGCCUCCCUGGCCCACCCCCUCAGAUGCUAAUGCACUUUAGUGUGGAUAUUUUGCAAUGUCACCAGAAAGUGGGAGGAGAAAAGUGUUAAGGACUGCCAAAAAAAAAAAAAAGGGAAAAAAUACUGUGAGAGAUAUGUUCACUGUAUACACAGAGAAGAGCUAUCUUCUUGCAGAGAUUUCCCCUAAGCCAUGGCAAAGGUGACCACUUCUUAAAGAGUCCUCCCUGCUCCUGCUGAGAAAUCCAUGGCCUGAGAAAUCCACAGUGCCUCUUUCAGGGAGUGUGAGGUCCGUGGAGCUGCUAAACUCCCAAAGAUCCUUUUGGGAACCAACAGAUGAUGGAUUAAUAUAUUUCAUAACAAUCUCCAUGGAGACCAAAGCCGGGCUGGCGUGCUCCAGACUGAUGGUGAUAGAAAACCCUGUUGGCAAUGUGGAUUAGUGGGUGCUCCUGUCAGAGUCAGAGGCUACCCUGGAUGAUGUCGUUUAUCUCAAGUGUAAAUCAGAUGUGACUCAGCGGCAGACGCUGCGCAGCCAAACGUGCAGAAAAGUCGCGUCAGUGUUGAAUCAAAGCCUGCAACGCUGAUCAUUAUUUCAAGAGAGUUAUGAGAAUGCCAUGAGUUUCAAGAAGAUGAUCAGUGCUGCUGAAGAAGUGAAAGCCAAGAAUUAGAGAUAUACUGAUAGGAAGCUCUUUGGAUUUAUUAACUGUUUUGUUUGGACUUAUUAAAAAGGAAUGACACCCGUUAAAGUGUAUCGCAGCAAUGAGCUAUCUAGCAGCCCCCAGGGCUGUGACUGAAGGAGAGCUCUGUGAUAAGUGGUAUUUCAGGUUGCUGAACUGCAGGCUGUGCCCUACGUCUGUUUUUACUGAAGCAUUUCUGUAUUUACUGGAGCACUUCAGGUGCUGUAGGAACCAGACGUGCUCCCUCCUCCCCAUCCUUCCACCAGCCUCCUCGUGCACAUCUUGCAAGCUUUGAAUAAGCAAGAGCCACAGCUGAAGCAGCUUGGGGCUGCCCCCAGCAGCAGGAGCAUCCCAUCUCUUUCUUGCUGUCACUCUUUCAGUGUUUAGUCACUUUUUGGUGUCAGCAGCUUUCUCUCAGUGCAGAAGUGAGCUGGGUACUCGGAGGUUUGAUUCUCUCACAUACACAUACACACCCCUGGGUCCUUUGGAGAGGUGUUUCUAGUCCCCUUUCCAUGAGCAUGUAUUUGCCCCCCUGCUGCCUGCUGUGCCCCCCAGCACCUCGCUGCCUCUGGGGUUUUCUACUGCGUGUCUUAAUAAGCAAGUACAAGUCACAAGGUAAGAUAAAUCUCUUCAUCUCCUUUUGUUACAUCUGUAACAGCCUUUGAGUCAUGUCAAGACAACUCUGGGCUCACUUACCUGCAUUCAGGAAAUUCUUCUUUACCAAUGUACACUUCAGACUGUGCAAAAAUGAUUUCUUUUAAAUGGUAAUUGUCAGUGACAACUUUGAGGCACAAAAGAUACAAUCCUGCAUGGAAGGUCAAAGAGCAUAGCUUGAUAGGUUCUAAAAUACUUUUGCAGAUGGAUUUCCAACAUGUACCUGAGCUAUUUACCGUGCCCCUUCAACUAAUUGUUUCUAUUCAGACCAUUUUUCUUUUCAGUUUUAAAGUAGUGAUGUGUUGAACCUCACCAGGAAAACUGAGGUUCAGCUGGCUACCUUUCUUUUUUGGAAAAUAAUCAUUCACUCCCCCUAUGAUACUGCAACAGGAGAACAUCAGAUCAAACAUCCUGUUUUACACUGUUUUCCACCACUGCCCCAUGGGAAUGAUUGGUCUUUUGUGCAUAUUUUUUUUUUUUUCAUUUGGGCAAACUUCAUUGCAUCUUAUUAUUACUGAAAGUUAGAGAAGAGAUUGAAGACUGAUUACAAGGUUAUGGUGUACCAUGGGAAAAGUCUAGUUAUACAAAAGCUUUGUUUAGAGUCAACUAGUUUCUAUUCUGAAAAAGCUACUGCAGACAUCCCUGUUGUUUUUAUUGAUCUUAUAGAUUCAGUACUGGGGCCUUUAGAGUUUGGCUUUGCUUUGGAGACUGGUAUAUUUUAUUUGAAUUUGCUCAAAUUUCAACAGAUUAAAGUGAUCUGACAGCUUUUUGAAUGUUGGCCUAGAAAAAGAACUAGUUUCUCAUACAAGGUGAGACAGCUGUCUCCAGAAGAAGAGUUACCCAUCCACAUUGUCACCACAGAAACUCUGGUCAGUACACCCCUAAUUAUGAAAUCAUUACCCGAGACCUGCAUGAUAAGGAAAGAAGAAUUAUUAUAUUAACCUGGGGUCCUCGGUGCACUCAGAGGCAUCACAAAGCAGCUCUCCUGCAGUCAAAGCCUGCGCACUCCCUCUUUUCUCUCAUCCACUGAUAUCAAUCACACUAUGACAGCAAGCCACAGAGAAGAUUUUUCAGUCGGUAUCACUGACACUACAACAUCAGAAAUACAGCAGCCAGCUAGUAUGUGCUCUGGGUGUGAAAGGGAGCAACCAGCAGCAUCAGCUUGACAGUCUUUUCACCAUGGCCACAGACUACCCAAGGAAAGGAAUGAGAUUUCUCUUGCUCCUCCCCAGGACCCUGCCAGGCUGUGCCUAUGACCACUUAAAAGCUGUGAUGAGUCCUCUUGUUUUGCAAAAAGGCAAGUGACUUAAGAAAAGCAAAAGAGAAGCUACAUGCAUUGAGGGGGAAAGCACAGUAAAAUGAAGGAUUUCUCUUAUUGUUUCUGGGGAAGGAGCUCCCAUUGGUCCAGUGCCUCUUCGUGCAUGAAUGGAAGAAAGAAGGAAGGAUGUGCUUUAAUCCUGGAUUGGUACAACUCCCACUGGAAUACACCUUAAUUUUGGAUUGGUAUAUCUCUUACUGGAAUAAGCCAGAGGUGGAGCAUCAGCUCGAGUGGAAGAUGGGAGAGGUCCUUGGGAAGUUCUUUUGGGAAGAGACCAGUUUGGUCAUCUAAGCCAGUUCCCUCCUGCUGCAGUCAAGUGUGUUCUUCUACUGAGUAUGUGCUGUACACCACACCUCAUACCAUGGGCCUUCCAACACAUCUCUGAGCCUCCUAGCUAAUGAGAUAAAGAGCAAGAGAUCAAAUGCCACAACAGUAACAAGCCAUUAAAAGAGAUUAGAGGGUGACAAGGUCAGUAUCCACAUGCUAGGGUAGGGAUUCUCUUAAAUAAAGUUUGCUGAAGUGUCAUAUUACAGAUGAGAACAAAAUGCCUCAAGAAUCCCUGCCAAUGUUGUGAUGAAUUGAGGAAAAAUGGAAGAACGUGGAAGAAAUUCCCUUCAGUCUCUGAAACUGGUAAUUCAGUUAAUUGUGAGAAGGUGAGAUGAACCAAACAGGCACCGAUGAGAAAUGAACGCUAUUAAAAAUACGCUGCCCACACUGAUGUUCUAAUGAAAAAUGCUGGUUGACAUGAUUAAUUGUUUUAUCAUGGAAGUGUCUGUAGAGAUGAAACCCACCCUGAGCUGUCAGGAUGGUGUUAUCCAUCUCCCAAAGCAGAGGUAAUGAGGGAUCAUUCACCCUGGGUGUCUCAGGCAGGUGAUUUGGGUUAAUGCACACACCAGAGGCCAUUAGGUGGGGAAUUACUUUGCCUGAGUCUGCCUGCCAAGGUGGAGUUUGGGGCAGAGCAAUUUUACCAGAAGGUGAAGAAAGGUGGAGGGGUUGAGAAAGGGAGCCAUGAACUGGAGCUGUAGGGAGACACCAGAGUAUGCACAAAAGAUGAGGGGUUGCAGGGCCUGCCAGGGCUGUGCUGGCAAAGGGCCCCGAUGCCCAGACGGUGUUUGGGGCUGCAGGGUGGAGCCCCUGUGCAGCUCAGCAAGGCUGCAGGCAGGCUUGGGGCAAGUUGCAAGGAGUAAAAGUUAAUGAGAACUUUGAGUUUAUAAGCUCACCCGGGUUAAACCUUACAAAUCUGAGCCAGGCUGGGGGUAUGAGCCUGAGUAAAGAUUCAGAAAAUAAUGCUUUGCCUCUGGCUCCAUUCUGUUCUGCCCUCCUUCAGUUUUUCUCCAUUCAGGUGUAUCAUUGGGAAUUUUUUUUAAGUUCAUCCUCUCUUACUUCUGACUUCUGUUUUAUCAAGAAAGUCUUA